UACAGAGGUCUCAAGCGUUGUUCCGAUUCAUUGGGCGUAAAGGGUGCGUAGGUGGCGCCGUAAGUCAGGUGUGAAAUUUCGGAGCUUAACUCCGAAACUGCAUUUGAUACUGCGGUGCUUGAGGACUGGAGAGGAGACUGGAAUUUACGGUGUAGCAGUGAAAUGCGUAGAGAUCGUAAGGAAGACCAGUGGCGAAGGCGGGUCUCUGGACAGUUCCUGACACUGAGGCACGAAGGCCAGGGGAGCAAACGGG
rnacentral:rRNA from 1 species